rnacentral:rRNA from 1 species
UACGGGGGGGGCAAGCGUUGUUCAGAAUUACUGGGCGUAAAGGGCUCGUAGGCGGCCGACUAAGUCAGACGUGAAAUCCCUCGGCUUAACCGGGGAACUGCGUCUGAUACUGGACGGCUUGAGUUCGGGAGAGGGAUGCGGAAUUCCAGGUGUAGCGGUGAAACGCGUAGAUAUCUGGAGGAACACCGGUGGCGAAGGCGGCAUCCUGGACCGACACUGACGCUGAGGAGCGAAAGCCGGGGGAGCAAACGGG